rnacentral:pre_miRNA from 1 species
GUAAGCAAUUGCUUCUCAUUUUCAGAAAUUGUAUGUGAAAAAGAGAGCCUUUUGUUUACAG